CAAGCAAGGUCGAAGCCAGGUUGACCACGUGACCGUAUGUCAACGGACCGUCAAGGCCUGUUUCAUCGGACCGCUCUGCCGAUCUCUCGGCGUGGAGGAAACGUAAACAAAGGAAAUGUACUCUCUUGUCCAUUUUUUGGCGGAAAAUGAUGUCGCAGUUGUCCCUACCUGUUGGGUGUGCAAUGGCUGCACGGCAUGGCCACCCUACAAAUCAAAUCGGUUGAUGAUGGCAAUUAGAGAGCGUGAAGAGCCCUCGACUGACUGGGCCACAUUCUCCUGUCAGGUGAUGGCAUCAUGUUUGACAUGUGAAGAUGCAAAGUACAAAGAAAAAAAAUUCGGAAGCGACGUCCGACCUAACAUUGAAUAAUGAAGAGCGGGAGAAGAGAAAAAGGAAGAGACUGCAGCAUACUCUUUCUUCAUUUGAGGAUGAGGACUUCUAUGACCAAGAUGAACGACGUAACACUCAGCCAGCCCCUCAACUUCCAGAACGUGCACCAGAGCCCAAGCAAAAACGCACACGUGAGCUGUGCGCACCUGCUUUAAACAGAAGGCAGAAAACAAUGAGCCAGCCAUCAUCGUGCAGGAAGCCGACGCCAAAUGGGCUGCUGCUGAAUCGGUCAGGCAUGCACCAGCUAGGACCAAGAAAAUGGAGCAGUGUGCCUCUUCUCAGGAGUGACUGAGGGGCUGCCACAAGGGGAGAAGGCAAGCAUGUUUCUGAUUACAAGGAUGGACAGUUGGGCUGGGCUAGUUGGUAAGAAUUCAUGUUAAAAAACGGUGCGAAAACCAGACAAAGGAAAAAGAACACACAGUGCCUUGUCCUGUGUGUUUUCUUAUCCGUGCAUUUUGCGCUGUUUUUCA
rnacentral:misc_RNA from 1 species